AAGAGGUGUACUGAACCCGGCCUGGCCCAGUGAGGUUACUAGAGAAUUGGGAAAGGCUUAAAUAAGUAUCCUGCACAUGGUUAUCAAAUCAUUGUAAAGUCUUGGAGACCUUAGAAACAACUUGUUGAGUUCUCACCAUGAAUACCAUUGGAAUUGCAGUUGGAAUGGCAUUAAACAUGUAGAUUAAUUUUUGGAGAGCGAUCAUCUUUAUAAUCCUCUCCUAUAUGAAUGUGUUUCUUCUCUGCUGCCUUUUGAGCUGCCAGGCACUGUGCUGGGUGAUGGGGAUAUGGAGACGAAUUAAACACAGUUCUGCCCUCAGGAGUUCUCAGUCUAGUGAGAGAGUUCGACAUGUACACAGAUAAUUACAACAGUAUGGUAUGCUCUACAAUGGAGGUAUGUACAAGAUACUAUGGGGUUCAGAAGAGAAAUCAUUUGAUUGAGUGGGGAAAUGCCUGAGGUUGGAGGAACUGAUGCUUAAGUGGAUUCUUAAAGGAAGUAAAGGUUGGCCAGGCAGAAAACAGAGAAGGACCUUUUAAGCAAAGGCAUGGACACUGGAAAUAGAAUGAUGAAAUGGGGGAACUGCAAGUAGUUCCUGAAAUUAGGUUAGAAAUGUAAGCUGAGAAUAGAUCCUAAUAAGUAUUCCAUGAACUUUGGAUUUCAUUUGGAGCGUUUAAGUAGGGGAUGCUUUUGAAGGUCACUUUGGCAGUACUAUAGAGUAUGUUCUGGAAGAUUUUCAAACCUGGACAGGGAGAUUAGUUAGAAAUACACCAUAGUAGAGAAGAUGAUAAAUGAUCGAAGGCCAAAAGGAUUGGGAGUGGAGAAGAGGGGAUAGACUCUUAAAUAAGAGGCUAUAAAAACAUGGACAGUUCUAGAACAUGGAAAAAUUAAGGUGGUAAAGAGGAAAAAAUUAGGGCUCUCAGACUUUGGCAAGUGUGCAUCCACCUACUUCCUUCCAUUCCUGGCCUUGUUGAGAUCCUCUCGUGUUUACUUUUAUUAUUUUUAUGAAUGUUUAUUUAUUUAUUUUGAGAAUGAGAAAGUGGGAGUGGGGGGGAGGCAGAGAGAGAGGGAGAAAAUUCCCAGCAGGCUCUAUGCUGUCCGUGCAGAGCCCAACGUGGGGCUCCAUCUCACAAGUCGUGAGAUCAUGACCUGAGCCCAAAUCAAGAGUCAGAGGUUUUUCUGACUGAGCCACCCAGGGACCCCAUCCUCUCAUGUUUUUUACAUGGGCAUUGCUAUUGAUUUCUUUUGGACCAGAGCUUGACUGUACAGAUUUGAUAAGUUUUGUUCUGGGAUGGCAGCUGUUAUAUGAAAUGUUGAUUCUCAGAAAGACCUCUGAACAGCUGUAGACCUCUGAUAGUAUUACUUAGUUCCUUGCCCUUCUCAUCAGUAGCAGGUUUCCCUCACCAUCACAUUGUCUCCCAAAGUCAGAGAGGAAGCUUUUCCCUCUAAAACCCACUCAGGGGAGAAAUGGCCCUAGUUGUGACUGUCUCAAUUGUUUUAUUGUUUGUUGAAUGAAAAACUGAAUCAUCAACAGACAUUAAUUGGGCACCUGCUCUGUAAUCUCCAUGGACUCAGCUUAGGGAUUUUCCAACAUUUGUGGUUACAUCUCUAAGUAAAAUAUAUCCAGUAAUCAAAAAUCUAAACAUAUUCAGUAUUCAUUUCCUGUUUUCUCAAAGCAAUAUAAAAAUGUUCUGUGGACAGUUCUCCACCUAAGGCUCAGAGUAGUGACCUUAGGGAUUCAGAGAAUGGAUUCUGUGACUAGAAUGAUUAAUCGGAGAUUAUAUUUAAGUAGACCUUAUGUAUUUUCAGUGGACCUUAUGUAAGUAGCCAUCCUAGAGGGCAGUAGGGGGAAGAAGGAUUGGGAGAGGAAGCUCUGAGUAGGACAGCAAAGCAGUACGUAAGAGUCUGGGCCUUGGGACUAAAUAACCUAGGCUCAAAUCUGCUCUUAAACUCACCAGUGUGGUAUUGAGCAUGGUUUUUCACCUCUCUGGGACUUGCCUUUCUCUUAUGUAAAAUAGGGGUAAUGGUCUUUUCUGCAUGUAAAAUGGGGGUAAUGGCCUUUUCUGUGAUGAUUUGGAUGGGGAUGGGGGUAGGUGUAAGGAUUUAAUGGGAUUAUUGUACAUUUCUUAGAACAAGUCUGGAAUGUGCCAAAUGCUAUUAUCAACUGUCAUUGCCACUAAUAAUGAUGUUGACCAUGUCUGGGAUUAAAAGAAGAUAGUUAACCAGAGGUGCUUAUGUUUUACAUUGUCAAUGAGGCUCUUCGGGUGUGAGAAAGAAAGGGAAACUAACUGGCCUGAAGGUUUUCAAUGGUAUGUUAGUAUGAAGUCAACUCUCUACCUUCUUUUUCUUCUCUGCCAAAUAGGUUGGGAAACCAGAUGAAUUUUGUCCAUGCCCUGAUCACUAAUCUAUUGCCUUUGCUCUUAUUUCCAAAUAGAAACCUGUUGAAAGUUGUGUUACACCUGAAUAAAGGUUAUCCUAAAAAUGUAGAGAAGUGCUUUGGAGUUGGUCAAAACUGGACUUGAAACCUGACUCAACUGCUUACUAGCUGUGUGAUCUAAGACAUGUUACUUAACCUCACUGAACCUCAGUUUUUUCAUCAAAUAUAAUAAUUAAUUUGCAGGGUUUCUCUGAGGAUAUUUGUGAAGUGUAUGUCAUAAGCACUAAGUCAUAGCUGUCAUUGUUAGUUCUUGGGAUACUCACCACGUGACAGAAACAACAGCGGGCCCUGGUGGCUGGGAGGACUGCAUGGAUCCAACCUCAACCUGGAGUUGUGCUCUUCUGAAGAAAUCCUACUCGGAUGGAUAUAAUACAACCUGCUAAGUGUCCUCGCACUUAUCAGGUUGUAUUAUCAUUGUCCGUGUCUAUGGCUCUCGUCUACCAGACUCUAAAUUCCUUACAGGCAAGGACAGUGCCUUGUUCAUCUUUGUAUUCGGUGCCUAAUCCCGUGCACAUUGUAGGCCUCAUUAAAUGUUUGUUGAAUGAAAAAAUGAAUCAUCAACAGACAUUAAUUGGGCGCCUGCUCUGUGAUCUCCAUGGGCUCAGCUUUUCCCCGCCAGUUGCCUACAACGUCCAAGCUGUCUUCAAUAUGCUUUCUCCUGGAGCUUACUCCUAUCUUCUCACUCUUUUGCUGAGGACUUUUCUGUGUAGUACAAAGAUAGCAAGUAUCAAAGAUCUCAAGUACCAUCUCCAAUCGGUCAAUAGUACCUGCCUCGAUUAUGUUUCACAAAAAGGAUGCUGAAGCCAGGUCUCAGUUCAGUGUGAAAGAGAGUUAUAACUAAUUAGCUAUGUUUACUGAAGGUGGGAGAAGGGGGAAUAGCAGCCUAAGUGCCGCAUAUAUAUCAUAUUUAAUAUGUUUUCCGUGAAAUAUUCUGUUUCUAUGCCUGUAUUUUAGUCUUGGCUACUUGCAGAUGUUGCAUGCCUGCUGCUGCUGCUGCUGCUGCUGCUACUACUACUACUACAGUUGCUGCUGAUUGCUCCUUGGGUAGGACCAAAGUGAUCAUUGAUCAGAAACUUCAUCCUCACAGUCUGGGGGUUGCUCCUGUGGCUGGUAUUCACAGUUUCCCCUUUCAACUUUACCUCAGCUAUCCCCUUACCUACAGUGACAGGUAGGCCUCCACUUUCCGUUCACCACUCAACAGGCUCCUAUUUCCUUUUCCUUCUUUAGUCUGAUUAAUGACUCUUGUUCCAUGAGAAGCCUUCUUUCUGGUAGAAGAUGUGACAAAUAGAGUACAAGUUAAAUGAUUCCGUCAGGGCGCUACAGUGAGUUGUAUAAGCUGCCCUUUAAUGUGGGAGAAAAUGGAGUAUGCUUGCAGACUUUGGGGCAGGAAGGACAGAGAAGGAAAUCAUUGUUGAUGGGGGAAAGAAAGAAACUAACAGAUGGAAUAAGUUCCUGAAAAAUGAUGGCAGAAGGGAGGGUGAAACCUAUGACUCUAAAAUAUAGGGAGAGAGAGCACCUCAGAUGAAAGGAAUUACCUCCUCGCUGGAGCAUAGGGAUAGGAGUUAGGAGAAACAUGUGACAAGAGUGUUGAAGAUUUGUAAUUGUUGAGGUGGAUGAUGGAGAGGAAGCUGACAGGAUUAUGGGACAGGGAUUAUGGGACAGGAUUAUGGGGACAAAUAAUCCAGGGACAGGAUUAUGAGGACAAAUCCAGGGACAGGAUUAUGGGACAAACCAGAGUCCAAGGGAUAUUUGGGCCAAAAGGCUAGAGUGGGGCCUUUCGGUCUAUUAAAGUGAGAUACUAUUAUAUUAAAUUAUAUACUAAAUUAAAGUAAGAAACCAGAAACUCAAGAAACUUUAAAGUGGUUUUAGGCCACCCGUCACAAGUAACUUGAUUGCCUGGGACUGACCUUUAUUGGUUGAGGGAUGGACAGCUAGCAAGAGAGGGGCUACACAGAAAUGAAUUUGAAACUCCAGACUAUAUGUGGAAGGAAGUUAGAUCAGAAGUGAGCUGAAAGUCUUGAAUGAAAAAAGGCCCUAGUGUGAUCAAGAUGGGUGUUGGGUAGUUGGAAAUUGGAAUAAUAGAACCUGUAAUCAGAGAGUGGAUUUUGAAACAUUAAGAUUGCAAAACCGGAGUGGUCAAGGUAACUUGUGAAGUGAGGUUGUCAGAUGGUCGUCAGUUACAUAAAUACUGAAGUGACCCGGGACUAUAGCAAAAGCCAAGCUGGGAAUGAACUCUGGAGGCCAGGUGUAAUAGGCCUUGAUGCCUGAGGAGUGAUUUAGAGGUUGGCACAUGGCAACUGUGCAGGUGUAAGAGAAGAAAGGAUGUAGUGGGAUAGUUGUACGAGCCACGGAGGAGCGGUAGGGAUCAUUAGAAGUUACCAAAACUAUGAUCUGCACAUUGCUCCGAGGUGUUGGCUUGCAGAAUGCCCAGCUAAAGUGAUCCCCUCCUCUAUUGGGUGCUUGCUCUAUACCCAGCACCUUGCUGUGUGCUAACCAUUUACCCCUUCUGGGUCUGUCAAAUAUCAGGUAUGAGAAAAUGAGCAGCAUUCCCAAGCAAGGACAGCUAGGGGAGCUGCUGGCCCUUUGAAUUGACGGAAUGCUGUGGCCAUCUCUACAGACUGGUCAGCUUGAAGUGGCAUCAAAAGAUUUCUUUUGGACCCAAAUUUUUCCUUGACCUUGACCUAACUUUAUCCACAUGGUACAAGUUUGUGUUGGCUGUUCCAUAAUGUACUUUGACUUCUGAGUCUCUGACUUGAGGCGUAUGCUAGAACUGUCCUUUAAAAAACAACAGGCACAGCACAUUAAAAACACAGAUUAAUUAACUAGAACAAGGGGGCCCUGUUACCUAAUUGAGCUUUUAAGAUAAAGGAUAGACAAAAGAAAGCUCCCAUCGGUGUGUAACAACAGCACUUUGUGACAGCCACUCUAAGGUCAGGAUACAUCUAGUUUAGUGGCCAUAUUGUACAUAUUCCCUGUGUUGUUGGGAAGAAGGGCUGGAAAUUGAUGCAGAGAGAUGUCCCUUAGGACUUGGAAUGUAAAGUUUAGGAGAAGAGAAUCUCCGUGAAUCCUGUGACAUUGCAUGUCAUCAUUUUUCCUCUGUUAUAGUCUUUGAAUGAGUCAAUAUUUCAAUGAAGGGGUAGAGCCCUUGAGACAGAGUUCCCAGGCCCUCAGAUGGUGCAUCCCCUCUUUUGGGGCUGCUUUAUAUUUAUUCCUCAGGAGGAUCUGGUAGAAGACUUUGUGUGAGGAAGAAGAAAAAGAAAGAAGCAGAGAAUGACUACAGCCUGUCUUCAUAUCGGCUUCACAAAGCACGACUCAACAGAGGGCUUACUCUCUUGAGACUCCAGACCACAGGCCAUCUGUAACAGCCUUUCAUCUGGGAGGAGCCUUGUUGUGAAUGAGUGAAUGAAGCUUCAGUGUUCAGCUGCAAUACAAGUCCAGUGCUUGAAGAAGCAAAGAGGGCAACAAGCCUCCAGGGGACAACAGUGUAGUCUUCUAAGUGAAGAUAGCAACAGAAGAGAUCACGGACUUGGCUGGAUUGGGCUGGGCUUGUUUGUUCAAAAUUUUAAAAAUACUUUUUUUCUUGACCAUGAAAGUAACAUGAUCAUUGUUGAAAAAUAAAACGAAAGGUAUAAAUUAAAAAGUAAAGAACACCUAUAAUAUAACCAAGAAAACAACUCAACAUUUGAGUGUUUCCCUUUGUUCUUGUAAAAAAGAAUGUGUGGAACACAAUUUUUUAAAGUUUUUUUUUUUUUAAUUCCAGUUAGUUAGCAUACAGCACUCUAUUAGUUUCAGGAGUAUGACUUAAAAACAAAAUUGACAUAUUGUAUAUGUUGUUCUCUAACUUUUUUCAUUUGAAAAUAAACAUAUUUCUACAUCAUUGGCAUUCUUUGAGAACACAGUAUUUUUUUUUACAGGGCUGUUGUGUUUAUUUUUUUUUCAAUGUAUGAAGUUUAUUGUCAAAUUGGUUUCCAUACAACACCCAGUGCUCAUCCCAACAGGUGCCCUCCUCAAUACCCAUCACCCACCCUCCCCUCCCUCCCACCCCCCAUCAACCCUCAAUUUGUUCUCAGUUUUUAAGAGUCUCUUAUGCUUUGGCUCUUCUCCACUCUAACCUCUAAAACACAGUAUUAGGUGUUACAUAAUAUUUCAUAUGAAUCUAACAGAAUUUAUGUAAGAAAAUCACAUGCUACUGGACAUGUUGGAUAUUACCAAUUUUGCCUAUAAAAUAUAAUAAACAUCAUUGUAUGUUAAUUAUUAUGUGCAUUUCUAAUUAUUUCUUUGCAAUAAAUUUCCAGAAUUGCACUCACUGAGUUUGAAUGAGAGUAUUAUUAAGGCAUCUGAAAGAGAGCAUGAGCUGUGGAGAGGGGCAGAGGAGGGAAGAGAGAGAGAGAAUCCCAAGGAGGUUCUGUGCCCAGCACAGAGCCUGAACCAGGACUCGAUCCUACAACUCUGAGGUCAUGACCCGAGCCAAAAUCAAGAGUUGGACACUCAACCAACUGAGCCACCCUGUGACAAAAUGAAGGAAUUCACCCCAAAAGAAAGAACAGGAAGAAAUGACAGCCAGCAGCUUAAUCAACACAGAUGUAAGCAAGAUGUCUGAACUAGAAUUUAGAACCACGAUACUAAGAAUACUAGCUGGAGUUGAAGAAAGCCUAGAAACCUUUUCUGCGGAGAUAAAAGAAGUAAAUCUAGUCAGGACGAAAGUAAAAUUGCUAUAACCGAGAUGCAAUCUUGAGUGGAUGCCAAGAUGACAAUAAUGGACGAAGCAGAGCAGCGAAUCCGCUAUAAAGAAAAAAAUUGUGGAAAAUAAUGAAGCAGGAAAAAGAGGGAAACAAAGGCAAAGAGCACAAUACAAGACUUAGAGAACUCAGUAACUUAUUAAAAAAGGAUAACAUCCAAAUCAUAGGAGCAUAGGAGUUGAAGAGAAAGAAAAAGGGUCAGUGAGCAAAUUAUAGCAGAAAGCUUUCCUAAUCUGGGAAAGGACACAGACAUCAAAAUCCAAGAAUCACAGAGAACUCCCAUUAGAUUAAACAAAAACCAACCAUCAAAAAGGCAUAUCAUAGUCAAAUUCACAAAAUACAUAGACAAGGAAAGAAUUAUAAAACCAACAAGGGAAGGGUGCCUGGGUGGCUCAGUCAGUAAGCAUCUGACUUCAGCUCGGAUCAUGAUCUUCUGUUCUAUGAGUUCGAACCCUGCAUCGGGCUCUGUGCUGACAGCUCAGAGCCUGGAUCCUGCUUUGGAUUCUAUAUCUCCCUCUCUCUCUGCCCCUCUACCAGUCGCACUCUAUGUCUCUUUCUCACUCUCAAAACUAAAUAAACAAUUACAAAUUAAAAACAACAAGGGAAAAAAAAUCCUUAACCUAUAAGCGAAGACAGUUCACGUUCGCAGCAGACCUAUCCAUAGAAACUUGGCAGGCCAGAGAGGAGUGGCAGGAUAUAUUCAACAUGCUGAAUCAGGAAAAUGUGCAGCCAAGAAUUCUUUAUACAGCAGGGCUGUCAUUCAAAAUAGAAGGAGAUAAAGUGUUUCCCAGAUAAACAAAAACUAAAGGAGUUCAUGACCACUUAACUAGCCCUGAAAAAAAUUUUAAGGGGGACUCUUUGGAGAAAAGACAAAACAAAACAAAAAAGUCAAAAGCACUACAGGCAACACAAUGGCACUAAAUUCAUAACUUUCAGUACUCGCUCUAAAUGUCAAUGUACUAAACGCUCCAAUCAAAAGACAUAGGGUAUCAGAAUGGAUAAGAAAACAAGGCCCAUCUAUAUGCUGCUUACAAUAGACCCAUUUUAAACCUAAAGACACCUGUAGAUUGAAAGUAAGGGGGUGGAGAACCAUCUAUCAUGCUAAUGAUUGUCAGAAGAAAGCUGGAGUAGCCAUACCUAUAUCAGACAAAAUAUUUUAAAAUAAAGGCUGUAACAAGUGAUGAAGAAGGGCAUUAUAUCAUAAUCACGGGGUGUAUCCACCAAGAAGACCUAACAAUGGUAAAUAUUUAUGCCCUCAACUGAAAGCCCCUGAAUAUAUAAAUCACUAAUUACAAACAUAAAGAAACUCAUUGAUAAUAAUACCAUCAUUAGUAAGAGACUUCAACACCCCACUUGGAACAAUGAACAAAUCAUCUAAGCAGAAAAUCAACAAGGAGACAUGGCUUUGAAUGACAUACUGGACUCGAUGGACUUAACAGAUAAAUUCAGAACACUUCAUCCUAAAGAAGCAGAAUACAAAUUUUACUCGAGUGCGCAUGGGACAUUCUCCAGAAUAGAUCACAUACUGGGACACAAAUCAGCCCUCAAUAAUACAAAAAGGUCGAGGUCAUACCAUGCAUAUUUUCAGACCACAACACUAUGAAACUUGAAAUCAACCACAAGAAAAAAUUUGGAAAGACAAUGAAUACUUGUAGAUUAAAGAACAUCCUACUAAAGAAUGAAUGGGUCAACCAAUAAAUUAAAGAGGACAUUAAAAAGUACAUGGAAGCCAAUGAAAAGGAAACCACGACAGCCCAAAAGCUCAGGGAUGUGGCAAAGGUGGUCAGAAGAGGGAAGUAUAUAGCAAUCCAGCCCUUCCUAAAGAAGGAAGAAAAGUCUCAAAUACAUAACCUAACCUUAGACCUAAAAGAGCUGGGUAAAGAACAGCAAAUAAAGCCCAAAACCAACAGAAGAAGGGAAAUAAUAAGGAUAAGAGCAGAAAUCAAUGAUAUCAAAAUCACAAAAACAGAACAGAUCAAUGAAACUAGGAGCUGGUUUUUUGAAAGAAUUAACCAAAUGGACAAAGCCCUGGCCAGAUUGAUCAAAAAGAAAAAGGAAAGGACCCAAAGUAAUAAAAUCACAAAUGAAAGAGGAGAGAUCACAACAAACACCACAGAAAUACAAAAAACAAUAAGAGAAUAUUAUGAGAAAUUAUAUGCCAAGAAGUGGGGAAUCUGGAAGAAAUGCACAAAUUCCUAGAAUAUAUAAACUACCAAAAUUGAAACAGGAAGAAAUAGAAAUUUGAACAGACCCAUAAUCAGUAAAGAAAUUGAAUCAGUAAUCAAAAAUCUCCCAAAAAAUAGGAGACCAGAGCCAGGUGACUUUCCGGGGGAUUUCUACCAAACAUUUAAGAAAGAGUAACACCUACUCUUUUGCAGCUGUUCCAAAAUAUAGAAAUGGAAGGAAAACUGCCAAACUCAUUCUAUGAGUCCAGUAUUACUUUGGUUCCAAAACCAAAGACCCCACUAAAAAGGAGAACUACAGAACAAUUUCCCUGAUGAACAUGGAUGCAAAAAUGCUCAACAAGAUACUAGCAAACCGGAUCCAACAAUACAUUAAAAGAAUUAUUCACCAUCAUCCAGUGGGAUUUAUUCCUGUAAUGCAGAGCUGUUUCAAUAUCUGCAAAUCAAUGUGAUACAUCACAUGAAUAAAAGGAUAAGAACCACAUGAUCCUCUCAACAGUUGCAGAGAAAGCAAUUGACAAAAUACAGCAUCCUUUAUUAACAAAAACCCUCAAGAAAGUAGAGAUAGAGGGAUCAUACCCCAAGAUCAUAAAAGCCAUACACAAAAAAACCAUAUACAAAAGACCUGGAGCUAGUAUCAUCCUCAAUGGGGAAAAGUUGAGAGAUUUUCCAUUAAGGUCAGGAACAUGACAGGGAUGUCCAUGCUCACUGCUAUUCAACAUAGUGUUGGAAGUCCUAUCCUGAGCAGACAACGCAAAGAAAUAAAAGGCAUCCAAAUCAACAAGGAGGAAGUCAAACUUUCAUUCUUCGCAGAUGACAUGAUACUCUAUAUGGAAAACACAAAAGACUCCACCAAAAACUUGCUAGAACAGAUACAUGAAUUCAGCAAGGUUGCAGGAUAUAAAAUCAAUGUAGAGAAAUCAGGUGCAUUUCUAUACACCAAUAAUGAAGCAACAGAGAGGGAAAUCAAGGAAUUGAUCCCAUUUACAGUUGCACCAAAACCCAUAAAAUACCUAGAAAUAAACCUAAUUGAAGAGGUAAAAAAGCUAUAUGCUGAAAACUAUAGAAAGGUUAUGAAAGAAAUGAAGACACCAAAAAAUGGAAAAAUAUUCCAUGCUCAUGGAUUGGAAGAACAAAUAUUGUUAAAAUGUAGAUACUACUCAAAGCAAUCUAUGUAUUCAAUGAAUUCCUAUUAAAAUAACAGUAGAAUUCUUCACAGAGCUAGAACAAAUAAUUCUAAAAUUUAUAUGGAACCAGAAAAGACGUUGAAUGGCCAAAGAAAUCCUGAAAAAGAAAACCAAAGCUGGAGGCAUCAUAAUUCCGGACUUCAAGCUGUAUUACAAAGCUGUAACCAUCAAGACAGUAUGGUAUUAACACAAAACAGACAGAUCAGUGGAACAGAAUAGGGAACCCAGAAAUGGACCCACAAAUGUAAUACCAACUAAUCUUUGAUAAAUUGGGAAAGAAUAUCCAAUGGAAAUAACAGUCUCUUCAGGAAAUGGUUCUGGGAAAACUGGACAGUGACAUUUAGAGGAAUGAACCUGGACCACUUUCUUAAAACAUACACAAAAAUAAACUCAAAAUGGAUGAAAGACCCAAACAUGAGACAAGAAGCCAUUAAAAUCCUAGAGAAAACAGGCAACAACCUCUUUGACCUCAGCCACAUCAACUUCGUACUUGACGUGUCUUUAGAGGCAAGGGAAACAAAAGCAAAAAUGAACUAUUGGGGCCUCAUCUAGAUAAAAAGCUUCUGCACAGUGAAGGAAACAAUCAGCAAAACUAAAAGGCAACCAACAGAACGGGAGAAGACAUUUGCAAAUGACAUAUCAGAUAAAGGGUUAGUAUCCAAAAUCUAAAAAUAAACUUACCAAGCUCAACAUCCAAAAAACAAAUACUCCACUGAAGAAAUGGGUAAUGACAUGAAUAGACACUUCUCUAAAGAAAACAUCCAGAUGACUAACAGACACAUGAAAAAAUGCUCAACAUCACUCAUCUUUAGGGAAAUACAAAGCAAAACCACUAUGAGAUACCACCUCACACCUGUCAGAGUGACUAAAAUUAACAACUCAGGCAACAACAGAUGUUGGUGAGGAUGUGGAGAAAGGGAACCCUUUUACACUGCUAGUGGGAAUGCAAACUGAUGCAGCUACUCUGGAGAACAGUCAGGAGGUUCCUCAAGAAACUAAAAAUAGAACUACCCUAUGAUCCAGCAAUUGCACUACUAGUACUUUGUAUCCAAAGGAUACAAAAAUACUGAUCCAAAGGGGCACAUGCACCACAAUGUUUAUAACUGUAUUAUCAAUAGCCAAAUUAUAGAAAGACCCCAAAUGUCUAUCAGUUGAUGAAUGGAUAAAGAUAUAAUACACACACACACACACACACACACACACACACACACAAUGAACUAUUACUCAGCCAUCAAACAGAAUGGAAUAUUACCAUUUGCAAUGAUUCAGAUGGAGUUAGAAUUAUGCUACACGAAAUAAGUCAGUAAGAGAAAGACAAACACCAUAUGAUUUCACUCAUAUGGAAAUUUAAGAAACAAAACAGAUGAACAUAGAAGGAAAAAAGAAGAAAACAAAACAUAAAAGACUAUUAACUCUAGAUAACAAACUGCGGGUUCCUGGAGGGGAGGUGGGCAGGGAUGAGCCAAAUGGGUGAUGGGUAUUGAGGAGGUCAUUUGUGAUAAACACUGGAUGUUAUACGUAUAAGUGAUGAAUCAUCAAAUUCUAUUCCUGAAACCAAUAUACACUAUAUGUUAACUAACUAGAAUUUAUUUUAACAUAAUUUAUCCUCAAAUUGGUUUCCAUACAACAUCCAGUGCUCAUCCCAACAAGUGCCACCCUCGAUGCCCAUUACCCACUUUCACCUCUCCCCCAAUCCCAAUCAACCCUGUUUGUAACUUCCCCCCCCUCCAUGGUCUUAAGUUUC